UCAGCUUUCACGGAUUAGUUGUGGGCCAGAGUCUGGCAGAUUGUUUUCUCAGUUCAGAUUUCACUGGCCCAGAGGAGCCCUUAUGGCUGGAGGAAUGUUUCGUUCCCGUGAGAAGAUAGCUCUUCCUUGGGAGUAGUGCUGCUGCAGUUCCUGUCUAUCCAGAGGAGACUGUUUCUACUUGGGAGGAGGUGAUCUCAUCAUGAAUUUUUCUGCACGUCUGCAUUUCCUGAAACCGCAGGUGAAUGGUUAAACACACAGUUAGCUGCGGGUCAUGGACCACGACCCAGUUCUAAAUGGGAGGACCCAUUGGGACAUACAACACAGAUGAAUCUCAGAAACAUUAAGCUAAAUGAAAGAAGCAAUUCAUAAAAGGUUACAUGCUAUAUGAUCCCAUCUCUGUGACAUGGGACAUCUCUAUGUUCCAUCUCUUCUGGAAGAGGCAGAAGUAGAAGGACAGAGACCAGAUUCGUGGUUUCCAAAGACCAAGCAUGGAGGGGGACUUUUUGGUGAACUGAAAACCCUCUCUGUGUGGGCUGCGGCGAUAGUGUGUAACUAUAUGUGCGGGCCAACACUUAGAAAACUGUACACCUAGACAGGGCGGGCAUACUGGGUGCACAUUAUACCACCAUAAAUGUACUUCAAAAAGCUCAAAAUAGAGAUCUGGAAACUG